rnacentral:rRNA from 1 species
UACGUAGGGUGCGAGCGUUAAUCGGAAUUACUGGGCGUAAAGCGUGCGCAGGCGGUUCGCUGUGUCGGUCGUGAAAGCCCCGGGCUUAACCUGGGAAUGGCGAUGGAAACUGGCGAGCUGGAGUGCGGCAGAGGGGGGUGGAAUUCCGCGUGUAGCAGUGAAAUGCGUAGAGAUGCGGAGGAACACCGAUGGCGAAGGCAGCCCCCUGGGUCGACACUGACGCUCAGGCACGAAAGCGUGGGGAGCAAACAGG